UGACUUGAAGCCUGGCUCUGGAAUACCUUCUGGGCCACCCGGAGCUCCUGCCUCACAGACUGGAUCUGGUUGCGGAGGUCGCUCAUCUUCAGGUGCUAGGUGCUGUGCUAAGUGCUCGCUCAGCAAGGAGCAAGCACUUAAUCCUCACAGACCCUGUGAGGAUUCUGUCAGCCCCUUAGAGAAGCAAAGCAGAGGCUGGUAGAGGGUGAGGCUCCUUGGCUCAGGGUACCUGGUUGGGAAAGGGGGAGCGUGGAUGUGAAUCCUGGCGGCCUGACUCUGGGACCUAAGCCCUUUGCUCCGAGUGUCACACACACACACACACACACAUGGACGCAGGUGGUGACCACAGGGGGAGCUUCUGUCAGAUCUCCGGCGCCAUGAGCCCCACUGGCCCGGCCGGGUGGUGGUGUGGGAGCUGUGAGUGCAUGGGCCCCCCACGUGCCUGCUGUGACCCUGCUCGGACAUUGGGAAGAGCACACAGAAGGGACCUGGAUCUAGAACCCAGGCAGUGACGCCCCUCUCCAAGCCUCACUUCCUCAUCUGUAAAAUGGGGGUAUGUAAUACCAGCUUCCGGGUUCCCGUGAGUAUUGAUUGGAUAACACAGGUAAAGGGAGCUGCCUGGGGCUGAUUCUGACAGAGGGCAUGUGGGGGCAGGGGAGGGGCGAGCCCGGCUUGGAUGGGCAGCUGGCAAAGGGGGCUGAGGGCCAGAUGGUGUUCUGGUCAGGGCUGGGCCCGUGUGCAGGGGCAGCCAUCACCCCCUCUACUCCUCCCCUCAGGCAGCUGGGCCAGCUCUACCGCCCUGCUGUUUCAGAGCUGUUCCUGCCCAGAGUGAAAUUCCACAGGCUUCGUGGGGGACUUGGAUAUGGGCUGUUUUCUUUGAGGGAAUAAACAAAACACAGUCCAUGGGGGAGCAGACAAUACCAGCGUCACUCACACCACCCCUCCUGCAGCCCCACGUGGAGGGAGGGCGGCCCCACUUCGGAAUGAGCUCUGGGGCUCUUGGGGCCAGAAUGUGGGGUGAGCCUGCAGGCCUUUGGAGUGUGGCUGGGGCCACCUGAACAGUCUGAUUGGGCAGACAUCGCUUUGUUCUCUCUCUGAUCAGAAGACGCCCGGGAAGGCGUGUGGCACUGAUGGACUGGGACUUGUAGCCGAUCACCCACUCUUCUAUCGGAAACCUUUCAGCCUCCCUGCAGCCACAGAAGGAAGUUGGAACUCCCACUCCAGCUGCCAUUCAAGGCCUCCCUCCAUGGGUGACCCCCCCCCAGCUUUUUUUUGGCUUACGUUCCCCUUUUCCACCCAACUAGCAAACGGAAUGGGAGUGUUGACUGCUUCCUGGCCUCUGAGGCUCCGCUUGCACCGUUCCUGCUGGAAGGCCCUCCCCUCUGCCCCUUCUCCAGCAAAGCCCACCUCCGGAACCCCACCCCACCCCACUUCCUAGCUGCCUCUGGGAGGGUGUGCUCCCUCUGUGGCCUCUCUCUGAAGGCCCUGUCCCCCUCCUUCCUUCAGCAUGGCUACUCAUCUCCUCUCUUGGAUUCCCCCGUGAACAGAGGCCUGUGUUUGCUUCUCUGUGUCACAGGGCUCAGAAAAUCCCAUCGGGCUCAACAAGUGGCUGGACAAGCAGUGUCCCAUCCAGGACAGCUCUAGUCAGGGACACAGAGGCGCUCCAUGCUCUGGAUAAAGCAGGGGCAGCUGAGCAGUGUCCCUCGGAGCCAGGAAAUGCCCUGAACACUCAGUCCAGCCCCUGCUCUACUGCCUUGCCAGCAAUGAGACAGGUUUACACAAGACCAGCCUCCAGGAGACAUAUCCACCCCUGGAGCCGAGGGGCCCAUCGCUGCACACCGAGGGCUGAGUUCUCCUCAGGACAGGCAUGACCCAGCCUCACCCUAAGCCGUAGACAACAAGGGAGGUGCGGCUGGAAAAGCAGCACUGAACUGGGAGUCCUGAGACCGGGACCCCUGGGUCACCCACUGGUCUGGCUUCCCAAGACUUGGAACUCCACAAAAGGAAGCCUUCUCACAACAUGAACUGCUGGGCUGCAUUGUGCAGUAGUGAGUUCCUGUCCCGGGCGGAAGGUAGAGGCUGGUGUCUCCCCAGUGAGAACGUUCCUUUAUAGCUGGGCUCGGAGCGGGCAAUCAGUUGGACCAGGCCUUCCCUGCUGGUCUUGAAAUUCUAGGGUCCCAGGGUCCUCAGGACCCCCUGACCUCCCUCCCUCCCUGAGGACUGGUCCUCAGAGUUAGACCCUCACUGGCCUCCACUGGGGCAUUCCAGGCAUGGUCACUGCUCCCUGAUGGCUGCUCUGUGGAUGCUGCAAUGGUGACACCGGGUCUACAGUGGGAUGGAGGUGGACCCCAGACAGAGGCACCUACACUCCCAUGGAAGACGGGAGGCUGGGCCAGUGGCCACCUCACUGACUCCCCAGCACAGAAGAGCUUUCAUACCAAGGCUCUGUCUCCCAUCUGGGCCCUCGGUGGCUUGGCUCCUGCGUCAGUGGCCCCCUUGGCUGGCAGCCUGGCUAGGACCGUCUGCAGCUGAAAAAGCAAACCUCACACUUAAUAUUUAAUCUGCUCAGCAGUUGUGGUGCCCGAGCGAAGCUCUCUGGUGCCGCUGGGUGUGUGGUUACCGAUCUCGGUGGUGGGCUUUCUCUCAGCUCGUCUUAGGAGCAUCAGCGGAAGCACGCUUCUGUACGAACUGCUCUGCCAUGGGAGAGGGUUUAAUGGACGGUCUGCCUCACUCCCCAGUAGCACAGUAGGGCAGCUCUAGGAUUCACUAACAGCUUAAUAAAUAAUAACACUGUA